UAUAUAUGUAUAUAUGUGUGUGUGUGUGUGUGUGUGUGUAUAUAUAUAUAUACACACACACAUAUAUAUACAUAUAUA